UUAUUUUUAUUAUACUAUUUUUAUUUGUUGUACCAUUCUAUUUUCGGGUGGGCUUAUUUUUAGUGGGUUUUAAAUCAUGUUUUGGGCCCAGCCUUGUAGCUGUUGGAAGCCCAAUUCGUUGGCUUGUUUUCAGCCAGCUCUCUCUCCAUAAACGGUGUGUUUUGACCUUGCUUAGAGUUAGGGCUUGUCUCAUUUUCUUUUCUUCUUCACCUUUCUCCUACCGCAGCCACACACUACUCUUCUUCUUCUUUGUUUUAUUUUUCUUCUCCUACACGCCGUCCAUUCCUUCUUCAUUUUUAUUGCGUUAUUUUCUUCUGCAACCGGUGUUGCUGCAGUCGACUUUCUCCAUUUUCGUUAGGGCUAGGGUUUGUCACCCAAGAAAUCAGCAAUCCUGGAAUUAGCCUUGGAUAUGUAUCAGAGGGUUGAAAAAUACAAGCCCAAGUUUCAGAUAUGUUUUGCUAUUUCUUAUUACUGUUAGGCUAUUGGAAUUAUAUAAAUACUUAUUUAAUUUCUAGAGUUCAUCUGUUUUUUUUUUAAUUGUGGGGUUUUAUUUAUUUAUUUGGGUAUGUUAUAUGCUGUUGGCUCUUGGAAUUAUAUGGCUUCUUGGGUUAAAUGGAUUACGGUCUGUCUUGGGUUUUGGGUUUGUGAAUUCAUCUGGUUUAACUGCUGUUCCAUUUUUUUUUUUUUGUAGUUUUUUUUUUUGAAGUUUUUUAAUUUCCAAUGACACAACAUCACACUACUUCACACUACUUUCCUUCUCUUAACCUAUUAACUAUCAAGAUAGCCAACAAAAAGAGAAUACAUUAUUAUUGGAACACAUUUUUAUUUUCAGAUCCUCACCCUAGGAUGUUUAUCUAAUUCUCUUUUUGCUCCUAGCUUUAGAUAUAUCACUGACAAAACAUCACACAAAUUUUCUUUUCUUAACCUAUUCACUGUCAAGAUAGCUCACAAAAGAAAGAGUACACUUUUAUUUUUAGAUCUUUGAUAAAUCUGACAAUAGCAAAUGAAAGGGAUCGAAAAGUGGAAGAUAACAAAAUAAGUAAACCACAAGAUAGACUUACAGAGAUAAAAAUCAGAAAUGUAAAACUCUGAAAGUCUCCAACCAAGAAAACCUGAAAAGAAAUCACUAUUAGAAACGAACAGAAAACAUUAAGCACUGCAGGAAACAAUGAAAAAAAAAAAGAAGAAAGAAAUGCUAGUAGGGUAAGGUAACAAUGAAAGAAAGAAGAAAGAAAAGCCAGUAGGGUAAAGAAAAUAACUCAAGAACUAAAUGUGCAGCUCUGAAAGAAAGCACCAAACGACAUAAGCAGGGUGAACAAAAAUAAUCUUCAUAGACCCUUUUAAGGUGCAAUGGCUUCCUGAACUAUCAUCCUAGGAACUCCCAUCGCAUGCAGCAGACCACUACAAAACCAAUCAACCCACUGGAAAACCAAUCAAACCAAAUAUUGGAAAACCAAAUGGAAAACUGGCAGCAUCAUACCACUGCAUAUGCAUUUUUUAUUUCUUGCAUUUUAUUUCCCAUAAUUAUUUU